CCUACGGGUGGCAGCAGUGGGGAAUAUUGGACAAUGGGCGAAAGCCUGAUCCAGCCAUGCCGCGUGUGUGAAGAAGGCCUUCGGGUUGUAAAGCACUUUCAGUGGGGAAGAAAGCCUUGGGGCUAAUACCCUCGAGGAAGGACAUCACCCACAGAAGAAGCACCGGCUAACUCCGUGCCAGCAGCCGCGGUAACACGGAGGGUGCGAGCGUUAAUCGGAAUUACUGGGCGUAAAGCGCGCGUAGGCGGUCUGAUAAGCCGGUUGUGAAAGCCCCGGGCUCAACCUGGGAACGGCAUCCGGAACUGUCAGGCUAGAGUGCAGGAGAGGAAGGUAGAAUUCCCGGUGUAGCGGUGAAAUGCGUAGAGAUCGGGAGGAAUACCAGUGGCGAAGGCGGCCUUCUGGACUGACACUGACGCUGAGGUGCGAAAGCGUGGGUAGCAAACAGGAUUAGAUACCCGAGUAGUC
rnacentral:rRNA from 1 species